rnacentral:rRNA from 1 species
CCUACGCGCGGCAGCAGUGGGGAAUAUUGGACAAUGGGCGAAAGCCUGAUCCAGCCAUGCCGCGUGUGUGAAGAAGGCCUUCGGGUUGUAAAGCACUUUCAGUGGGGAAGAAAGCCUUGGGGCUAAUACCCUCGAGGAAGGACAUCACCCACAGAAGAAGCACCGGCUAACUCCGUGCCAGCAGCCGCGGUAAUACGGAGGGUGCGAGCGUUAAUCGGAAUUACUGGGCGUAAAGCGCGCGUAGGCGGUCUGAUAAGCCGGUUGUGAAAGCCCCGGGCUCAACCUGGGAACGGCAUCCGGAACUGUCAGGCUAGAGUGCAGGAGAGGAAGGUAGAAUUCCCGGUGUAGCGGUGAAAUGCGUAGAGAUCGGGAGGAAUACCAGUGGCGAAGGCGGCCUUCUGGACUGACACUGACGCUGAGGUGCGAAAGCGUGGGUAGCAAACAGGAUUAGAUACCCGUGUAGUC